rnacentral:rRNA from 1 species
UACGUAGGGGGCUAGCGUUGUCCGGAAUCAUUGGGCGUAAAGCGCGUGUAGGCGGCCCGGUAAGUCCGCUGUGAAAGUCGGGGGCUCAACCCUCGAAUGCCGGUGGAUACUGUCGGGCUCGAGUACGGGAGAGGCGAGUGGAAUUCCUGGUGUAGCGGUGAAAUGCGCAGAUAUCAGGAAGAACACCCGUGGCGAAGCGGCUCUCUGGACGGUACUGACGCUGAGACGCGAAAGCGUGGGAGCGAACAGG